AACCAGCACCUCAAGUGGUCAGGAGGAUUAUUGGGCCUAAAGCAUCCGUAGCCGGUUCUGUAAGUUUUCGGUUAAAUCCACUAGCUUAACUAAUGGGCUGCCGAAAAUACUGCAGAACUAGGGAGUGGGAGAGGUAGACGGUACUCGGUAGGAAGGGGUAAAAUCCUUUGAUCUAUUGAUGACCACCUGUGGCGAAGGCGGUCUACCAGAACACGUUCGACGGUGAGGGAUGAAAGCUGGGGGAGCAAACCGG
rnacentral:rRNA from 2 species